rnacentral:lncRNA from 1 species
AUCCGAGGCUAAACAAGUACCCAGGUAUGUUUGGUGGUGGUGAAAUCGUAGAAGGGAUAUCCAAUAGUGAAAAAAAUCCACAGAGCGCUAGAGAAAUUUGAAGAAAUGAUGAUUAUGUGAUGUGGGGUUGAAGAAAUGAUGAUUAUAGUUUGAGUUCAAGAACAAUUAAUAAUUAUAAACUCCUAAUAAUUCAUAGAAGGCAUACUUUUCAUACCUAAGAAAUCACCUGAAUCUAGUUAUUUCAUCUUUAAUAGUUUAAAACCUAAAACCAAUCAUCAACAACUACCUUGUUCA